AAGGCUUGCUGCCUGAAGAAGAGCUUGCGUCCGAUUAGCUAGUUGGUGAGGUAAAGGCUUACCAAGGCAUCGAUCGGUAGCUGGUCUGAGAGGAUGACCAGCCACACUGGGACUGAGACAAGGCCCAGACUCCUACGGGAGGCAGCAGUGGGGAAUUUUCCGCAAUGGGCGAAAGCCUGACGGAGCAAUACCGCGUGAGGGAAGAAGGCUCUUGGGUUGUAAACCUCUUUUCUUAGGGAAUAAAAAAAUGAAGGUACCUGAGGAAUAAGCAUCGGCUAACUCCGUGCCAGCAGCCGCGGUAAUACGGAGGAUGCAAGCGUUAUCCGGAAUGAUUGGGCGUAAAGCGUCCGCAGGUGGUACAACAAGUCUAGUGUCAAAGACCGGGGCUCAACUCCGGGAUGGCGGUGGAAACUGUUGAACUAGAGGGUCGUAGGGGUAGAGGGAAUUCCCAGUGUAGCGGUGAAAUGCGUAGAGAUUGGGAAGAACAUCGGUGGCGAAGGCGCUCUACUGGACGGCAACUGACACUCAGGGACGAAAGCUAGGGGAGCGAAUGGGAUUAGAUACCCCAGUAGUCCUAGCCGUAAACGAUGGAUACUAGGUGUGGCUUGUAACAAAACGAGCCGUGCCGUAGCUAACGCGUUA
rnacentral:rRNA from 1 species